UCUUACGUGACCAAAUCACAUAUGGUAGUGGGGCGGAUGUCAUCAAAUGGUACAAACCACAAACAAAUGAUGCACAACUAGGAUUCCAUCAAAACAAUUGGAUGGUUGAUGCUGAAGAGGUCUAGUUUGUUGCUACUCAUAUUUCAUGGCCUCAUCAAAUCUUUAUUGUCAAUUAUGAGUAUAACAUCUCUUAAUUCUUGUUAAUUACAAAUGCGCAUGUGUGAAAGAGUCCACCCACACAUAGAGAGUGAGUGCAAAAUGAUAUAGACAACACACUAUCGACUAAAAGCAUAAAACUGGGGUUAUGUAUAAAAAAUGAUAAUUAGAC
rnacentral:lncRNA from 1 species